rnacentral:rRNA from 1 species
AUUGAACGCUGGCGGCAUGCCUUACACAUGCAAGUCGAACGGCAGCACGGGGGCAACCCUGGUGGCGAGUGGCGAACGGGUGAGUAAUAUAUCGGAACGUGCCCUAGAGUGGGGGAUAACUAGUCGAAAGACUAGCUAAUACCGCAUACGAUCUAUGGAUGAAAGCGGGGGAUCGCAAGACCUCGCGCUCCUGGAGCGGCCGAUAUCUGAUUAGCAGUUGGUAGGGUAAAAGCCUACCAAGGCUUCGAUCAGUAGCUGGUUUGAGAGAACGACCAGCCACACUGGGACUGAGACACGGCCCAGACUCCUACGGGAGGCAGCAGUGGGGGAAUUUUGGACAAUGGGGGCAACCCUGAUCCAGCAAUGCCGCGUGAGUGAAGAAGGCCU